UACGUAGGGUGCAAGCGUUGUCCGGAAUUAUUGGGCGUAAAGAGCUCGUAGGCGGUCUGUCGCGUCGGAUGUGAAAACCCAGGGCUCAACCCUGGGCCUGCAUUCGAUACGGGCAGACUAGAGUUCGGUAGGGGAGACUGGAAUUCCUGGUGUAGCGGUGAAAUGCGCAGAUAUCAGGAGGAACACCGGUGGCGAAGGCGAGUCUCUGGACAGUUCCUGACACUGAGGCACGAAGGCCAGGGGAGCAAACGGG
rnacentral:rRNA from 1 species